rnacentral:rRNA from 1 species
UACGGAGGAUGCGAGCGUUAUCCGGAUUUAUUGGGUUUAAAGGGUGCGUAGGCGGGUUAUCAAGUCAGCGGUAAAAUCGUGGAGCUCAACUCCAUCCAGCCGUUGAAACUGAUGAUCUUGAGUGGGCGAGAAGUAUGCGGAAUGCGCAGUGUAGCGGUGAAAUGCUUAGAUAUUGCGCAGAACUCCGAUUGCGAAGGCAGCCUACCGGCUUCUGUCUGACGCUGAGGCACGAAAGCGUGGGUAUCGAACAGG